rnacentral:rRNA from 1 species
UACGUAGGGGGCGAGCGUUGUCCGGAGUUACUGGGCGUAAAGCGCUUGUAGGCGGUCCACCAAGUUUGGGGUGACAGUUGCCGACUUAAUCGGCAAAGUGCCUCAAAGACUGGCGGACUUGAGGGCCACAGAGGGACAUGGAACUCCAGGUGUAGUGGUGAAAUGCGUAGAUAUCUGGAGGAACACCAGAGGCGAAGGCGGUUACCUGGACAGUUACUGACGCUCAGGCACGAAAGCGUGGGGAGCAAAAGGG